rnacentral:rRNA from 1 species
UACGUAGGGUGCAAGCGUUGUCCGGAUUUAUUGGGCGUAAAGCGCUCGUAGGCGGCUUAGCAAGUCAGGUGUGAAAACUCUGGGCUCAACCCAGAGACGCCACUUGAUACUUCUAUGGCUUGAGUUCGGUAGGGGACCAUGGAAUUCCUGGUGUAGCGGUGAAAUGCGCAGAUAUCAGGAGGAACACCGAUGGCGAAGGCAGUGGUCUGGGCCGAUACUGACGCUGAGGAGCGAAAGCGUGGGGAGCGAACAGG